GAGAGUGUUGGGCUUGGCCUAUGGAAAGAUGUGGUGGCCCGUUUUCUCUGCUAUUCAGACGCUCUGUUUUUCCUCUUCUUCGUAGGCCAUCGUCAGCUUCCCCCAAGCGCAGGAACGAAUUUUCGCCGGAGAGUGUAGUGCCCACGCCAUCAAUCGUCAGCUUCCCCUCCCAUGAACUGCUGUCAAAGAUGCUUUACAGGUUGGUGCCUAAUUCCUGGGAUAGCAUCUAGGGUUGCCUGUCACCUUCUUCAUCAUCAUCUGCCUACCUCUCUUCUAGAACCUUCUCCCCGUAAUAGCUACAUCUGUUCCUACAAACCAAGCUUAGCCGUGCUCCAAAACCUUCUUCACCUGACACGCUAUAGUUUUCUCUGCAUUUUACUGAGAGCUGCGUACGGAACAAUCCAGAGGUACCUCCAAGCUACCAAAUCCAGCUGGCUGGCCUCCUUUACAGGUACCUACAAGCUCUCAAAACCAUAUUGUAAUUUUGCUUUACGGGUUGUGUGCCUACACCCUACCUCCAGCCUCAACCUUCUUUACAGCUUGGCUGAUUUGAUGCACGCCCAAGUUUUUGCUUAUAAAUUGAACCCUUUGAUGGAAGCGAAGAAGAAGUUGCAGACACAUAACAAUCUGGAAAUUGGCUAUUUUUUACUUCUGCUCAACGAAUAUGUCUUGUGUUAAUAAACAAAAAAAUUGAAUCUUCCAAUUUUUUGGGCAAUUGUGAGUCUGUGACAUAUGAUGAUUCAAAGAACUUGAGGAACAUUAUCUGGCUGGCUCCAUUCCCUGGUGAAUUUGCUAAAUCUCACAAUGUGUGGCUUUUGUAGGGUGAUCAAGUUCUUUUUCAUCCAGCAAAAGUAUUUCUUCCAACAAUCCACAAGAGAACAAGUCUUUGAUGAUUUGAAGUCUGGAUCUGAUUUUGAAAUUCCAGUUUCAAAGGAGAGUGGCUUGGCUGAAGUUUAGUUUCCUUUAUUCCUUCUUUUCCUUCAUCAUCGUAGGUUUGUUUCUCAACUAAUGUGGUGAUAAUUCAAUCAAGCAUUCAAUGGAAGGACAACCUCAUGAAUUUGUAAAUCUGACUUCAUCGCAUCCAUGAGCAUAACCAUCACCAUCACCAUCAUUGUUGCAUUUGAAGGCCAUUUAUGCCAGAGAUGUUGGUGUUAGUUUUGGUUAAUCUGAGCAUUUGUUGCACCUUACUCUAAGUAUUGAGGUUGAACCUCUUUUUGAGUGUACAUUUUUAUUUGGAAGGAGGAUACCUCUGAUUGUUCUUGAUUGUUCUCAUGGUGGCCCUGGUCUUUCCAUGACUAAGAGUGAUGUCACUACAGCAGAAAUUUCUAAAUGGGCUGAAAUGAUAACAAAACCAAAGGUUUUUCUCAUUUUAUGAAUGUCUAAAUAGAAAAAGUGAAUGCUUUAACUAUUAGGAGAUUAUGUGGUUCAGUUAUGUGGCCAUUUGACCUUGGUUUUAGUUGUACUUGUACUGAACUACACCCAUCACGAUUUGAUAGACUCUUUUAUUUUAAGAUUUUACUUCAUGUAAUUGAGAUGAGAUUUCAAUUGAUUUGAUCCUAAAAAAGCACGUUGUGUUGGGUUGUUGGUGCUCCGAUGGGGACCUCUAUUGGGAUGAUUUUAGUUGAUGAUUGUUUCCUCUCAUGGGUAAUAAUUAAGAACUAUCAUCUAUUUAGAUAAUUUUAGUUUAUGCUCAGGUUUUGUUUACACUUUGUAUUUGGUUGGUGUAGUUUAUAUAUGAGCUAAUAGGUAUUGCUUUUGUAGAGAUUGAGUUUUGUUAUCUUUUAGAACUAUAGAUGCACAUUUGGUUUGAUCUCUAACUGAGAUGCACAAAUAACAGAUAAAAAAGUUGUACAUGCCAUGUCAAAGACCGAUUAGAAGAACAAUUUCUACCCCAGUAACACAGGGUAGUUGCAGACUGAUAUGAAUUUGUCAAUAGAUGAUGUUUUUUUUGGAUUGGAUGUGUUUCUCUACAUAACUGGCAGACUGAUAUGAAUUU